UACGUAGGGACCAAGCGUUGUUCGGAUUUACUGGGCGUAAAGGGCGCGUAGGCGGCUUCGCAAGUCCGGGGUGAAAGCCUCCAGCUCAACUGGAGAAGUGCCUUGGAUACUGCGGGGCUCGAGGGAGGUAGGGGUGCGUGGAACUUCCGGUGGAGCGGUGAAAUGCGUUGAUAUCGGAAGGAACGCCGGUGGCGAAAGCGACGCACUGGACCUCUUCUGACGCUGAGGCGCGAAAGCCAGGGGAGCAAACGGG
rnacentral:rRNA from 1 species